rnacentral:rRNA from 1 species
AUAGAUACCCGGGUAGUCCACGCCGUAAACGAUGAGUGCUAAGUGUUAGGGGUUUCCGCCCCUUAGUGCUGCAGCUAACGCAUUAAGCACUCCGCCUGGGGAGUACGGUCGCAAGACUGAAACUCAAAGGAAUUGACGGGGGCCCGCACAAGCGGUGGAGCAUGUGGUUUAAUUCGAAGCAACGCGAAGAACCUUACCAGGUCUUGACAUCCCACUGACCGCUAUGGAGACAUAGUUUUCCCUUCGGGGACAGUGGUGACAGGUGGUGCAUGGUUGUCGUCAGCUCGUGUCGUGAGAUGUUGGGUUAAGUCCCGCAACGAGCGCAACCCUUGAUCUUAGUUGCCAUCAUUUAGUUGGGCACUCUAAGGUGACUGCCGGUGACAAACCGGAGGAAGGUGGGGAUGACGUCAAAUCAUCAUGCCCCUUAUGACCUGGGCUACACACGUGCUACAAUGGACGGUACAAACGGUUGCCAACCCGCGAGGGGGAGCUAAUCCGAUAAAACCGUUCUCAGUUCGGAUUGUAGGCUGCAACUCGCCUAC